CGGAAAGCUGCGUUUCCCGGUGAUUAAGUGUAGCACCCGCCCCCGGCCGCCCCUCACCUGCCAAUGAUGCUCUUGAUCUGGGAAUCCUUCUCUGCCUGCUGCUGCCUUAGCCUCUUCUCACUCUGCUCCAGUCGGGCCUGAUACUGCAUCAGGAUUUUGCUGGUUUGUUCUUCCUGGGACAGCAGCCUCCGCUCAUACUCUUCCAGCUUCCGGUUGGACAUGUGCAGCCGCUCUUUCAGUGAGUGAAUCUCCUCCUCGUACUCCUUC
rnacentral:lncRNA from 1 species